UGUAAGUAGAGCGUACAUAAAGCGAAACUGCGAACGGCUCAUUACAACAGAUAUAAUCUACUUGUUCUUUUCAAUCUAAACGGAUAACUGCGGUAAUUCUGGAGCCAAUACGUGACUAAAAGCAGUGGCCUUCGGGUCGCUGUGCUAUUAUUGGAGCAAAACUAUUCGUUAGUCCUUUUGCUAACUCUGGAUAAUACUGCGUAUCGCAUGACCUCGUGUCGGCGAAGUUUCAUUCGAGUAUCUGCCCUAUCAACUUGCUGGCAGUGUAUUGGACUGCCAUGGUUCUAACGGGUAACGGAGGAUCAGGGUCUGACUCCGGAGAGGGAGCCUUAGAAACGGCUACCAUGUCUAAGGAUAGCAGCAGGCGCGAAAAUUACCCAAUAUCAAUACGAUGAGGUAGUGACGAGAAAUAACGAGUCCGUUCUCUCUGAGGUCGGACAUUGGAAUGGGUACAAUCUAGACAAUUUAACGAGUAUCUACGAGAGGGCAAGUCUGGUGCCAGCAGCCGCGGUAAUUCCAGCUCUCGUAAUACAUAGAAUUAUUGUUGCGGUUAAAAAGUUCGUAGUUGAUCAGCGAACCGUUCGGGGUGCAUCCUAACGGGUGUCACUCGUCGGACGGUAUUUUGCGCGUUUGUGUGCGGUCGCCCUCGCGGUGGCUCGUAUGCUGCGUGCAGGAUUACUUUGAACGGCUUAAGUGCUCAAGGCGGGUCUUAGGACCGAAUACCGGUGCAUGGAAUAAUGGAACAAGGUUGCGGCCGAGUUUUAUUGGUUUUGUCGGCUGAAACAAUGGUUAACAGGAACAGCCGGGGGCAUUCGUAUCGCUGCGCGAGAGGUGAAAUUCGG
rnacentral:rRNA from 1 species